rnacentral:rRNA from 1 species
UACGUAGGGUGCAAGCGUUAAUCGGAAUUACUGGGCGUAAAGCGUGACGCAGGCGGUUAUGUAAGACAGGUGUGAAAUCCCCGGGCUUAACCUGGGAACUGCAUUUGUGACUGCAUAGCUAGAGUACGGUAGAGGGGAUGGAAUUCCGCGUGUAGGCAGUGAAAUGCGUAGAUAUCAAAGCGGAACACCAGUGGCGAAGCGAGUCCCUGGACAAGCUCCUGACACUGAGGCAACGAAAGCU